CUACGGGUUGCUGCAGUGAGGAAUAUUGCACAAUGGGGGGAACCCUGAUGCAGUAACGCCGCGUGGAGGAUGACGCAUUUCGGUGUGUAAACUCCUUUUAUAUGUCAAGAAAAUGACGGUAGCAUAUGAAUAAGCACCGGCUAACUCCGUGCCAGCAGCCGCGGUAAUACGGAGGGUGCAAGCGUUACUCGGAAUCACUGGGCGUAAGGGCGCGUAGGCGGGUUGGAAAGUCAGGUGUGAAAUCCUACAGCUUAACUGUAGAACUGCACUUGAAACUUCUAAUCUUGAGUAUGGGAGGGGGAGAUGGAAUUAGUGGUGUAGGGGUAAGAUCCGUAGAUAUCACUAGGAAUACCUAAAGCGAAGGCGAUCUCCUGGAACAUUACUGACGCUAAGGCGUGAAAGCGUGGGGAGCAAACAGGAUUAGAUACCCUCGUAGUC
rnacentral:rRNA from 1 species